rnacentral:rRNA from 1 species
AACGAACGCUGGCGGCAGGCUUAACACAUGCAAGUCGAGCGCCCCGCAAGGGGAGCGGCAGACGGGUGAGUAACGCGUGGGAACGUACCCUUUGCUACGGAAUAGCUCCGGGAAACUGGAAUUAAUACCGUAUGUGCCCUACGGGGGAAAGAUUUAUCGGCAAAGGAUCGGCCCGCGUUGGAUUAGCUAGUUGGUGGGGUAAUGGCCUACCAAGGCGACGAUCCAUAGCUGGUCUGAGAGGAUGAUCAGCCACAUUGGGACUGAGACACGGCCCAAACUCCUACGGGAGGCAGCAGUGGGGAAUAUUGGACAAUGGGCGCAAGCCUGAUCCAGCCAUGCCGCGUGAGUGAUGAAGGCCUUAGGGUUGUAAAGCUCUUUCACCGGAGAAGAUAAUGACGGUAUCCGGAGAAGAAGCCCCGGCUAACUUCGUGCCAGCAGCCGCGGUAA